rnacentral:rRNA from 1 species
GAUGAACGCUAGCGGCAGGCUUAACACAUGCAAGUCGAGGGGUAGAGGAAGCUUGCUUCCUUGAGACCGGCGCACGGGUGCGUAACGCGUAUACAAUCUACCUUUUACAGAGGGAUAGCCCAGAGAAAUUUGGAUUAAUACCUCAUAGUAUUUUCGGAUCGCAUGAUUUGAUUAUUAAAGUUCCAACGGUAAAGAUGAGUAUGCGUCCCAUUAGCUAGUUGGUAAGGUAACGGCUUACCAAGGCUACGAUGGGUAGGGGUCCUGAGAGGGAGAUCCCCCACACUGGUACUGAGACACGGACCAGACUCCUACGGGAGGCAGCAGUGAGGAAUAUUGGACAAUGGGCGCAAGCCUGAUCCAGCCAUGCCCGCGUGGCAGGAUGACGGUCCUAUGGAAUUGUAAACUGCUUUUGUACAGGAGAAACACUAACUUCGUGAAGUAGCUUGACGGUACUAGUAA